CAGCCGUAAACUAUGCGCGUUAGGUGUAUCGGUGACCACGAGUUACCGAGGUGCCGAAGGGAAACCGUGAAACGUGCCGCCUGGGAAGUACGGUCGCAAGGCUGAAACUUAAAGGAAUUGGCGGGGGAGCACCACAACAGGUGGAGCCUGCGGUUUAAUUGGACUCAACGCCGGGAAGCUCACCGGAUAGGACAGCAGAAUGAUUGCCGGGCUGAAGACCCUGCAUGACUAUCUGAGAGGUGGUGCAUGGCGUCAGUGACU
rnacentral:rRNA from 1 species